GACGGGUGAGUAACGCGUAAAGAACUUGCCCUGCAGACAGGGAUAACAGACGGAAACGACUGAUAAUACCUGAUACAAUUGCCAGCACGCAUGUGCCCGGCAAUGAAAAGUGAUGCUGCAGGAGAGCUUUGCGUCCUAUUAGCUUGUUGGUGAGGUAACGGCUCACCAAGGCGAUGAUAGGUAGCCGGCCUGAGAGGGUGAACGGCCACAAGGGGACUGAGAUACGGCCCUUACUCC
rnacentral:rRNA from 1 species